CCUACGGGGGGCUGCAGUGGGGGAUAUUGCACAAUGGGGGGAACCCUGAUGCAGCGACGCCGCGUGGGUGAAGGAGCGUUUCGGCGCGUAAAGCCCUAUCGGCAGGGAAGAAGAUGACGGUACGUGACCAAGAAGCCCCGGCUAAAUACGAGCCAGCAGCCGCGGUCAUACGUGGGGGGCAAGCGUUAGCCGGAUUUACUGGGUGUAAAGGGGGCGGAGACGGCAAUGCAAGACCGGAGUGAAAGCCCGGGGCCCAACCCCGGGACUGCUCUUGGAACUGCAUGGCUUGAGUACAGGAGAGGCAGGCGGAAUUCCUAGUGUAGCGGUGAAAUGCGUAGAUAUUAGGAGGAACACCGGUGGCGAAGGCGGCCUGCUGGACUGUGACUGACGUUGAGGCCCGAAGGCGUGGGGAGCAAACAGGAUUAGAUACCCGAGUAGUC
rnacentral:rRNA from 1 species